UUGAGGAAGAAGGCAAAAGCGGAGCUUUUCUUAAAAUGCCUUCUGACGAUUUGCCCUCGAACGGAGGUGAGGGGGGCGCUGCCUUAA
rnacentral:sRNA from 1 species